rnacentral:rRNA from 1 species
UAGGGAAUCUUCCACAAUGGACGAAAGUCUGAUGGAGCAACGCCGCGUGAGUGAUGAAGGGUUUCGGCUCGUAAAACUCUGUUGUUGGAGAAGAACAGGUGUGAGAGUAACUGUUCACAUCUUGACGGUAUCCAACCAGAAAGCCACGGCUAACUACGUGCCAGCAGCCGCGGUAAUACGUAGGUGGCAAGCGUUGUCCGGAUUUAUUGGGCGUAAAGCGAGCGCAGGCGGUUUCUUAGGUCUGAUGUGAAAGCCUUCGGCUUAACCGGAGAAGUGCAUCGGAAACCAGGAGACUUGAGUGCAGAAGAGGACAGUGGAACUCCAUGUGUAGCGGUGAAAUGCGUAGAUAUAUGGAAGAACACCAGUGGCGAAGGCGGCUGUCUGGUCUGUAACUGACGCUGAGGCUCGAAAGCAUGGGUAGCGAACAGGAUUAGAUACCCUGGUAGUCCAUGCCGUAAACGAUGAGUGC